AAAAAAAAAAAAAAAAAAAAAAAGAUAAUACCAACCUACAUAUUCAUUUCAUUGUUAAUUUUUAUAUUUGCAUGUAUUUUCUAUAUCACAGACGUAAACCAUAAGUGAAUUCUGUUACAGAUUCAAUUCAAGUUACUGACAUUUCACCGGUUGUAGAAAACGCAGAGCCUCUCCCCAAGAACUCUUCAGAAUAUGUUACAGACAUUUCACCGAGUGUAGCAAACGUAAUGCUUCUUCCCAGAAACUCUUCAGAAAACGUUUCCGAUAUCCCACUGGAUGCAGUAAAGGCAGAGCAUGGCCCCAACGACUGUACUGAUACCUGCUUCAAACCCAUGUGCCUCAAAUCAGUUGCCGACAUCUUGUUCAAUUUAAACAGUAGCGUGGAACCUUGUGACGACUUCUAUCAAUUUGCCUGUGGUGGUUGGUUAAAAAGGCAUGCCAUAAGUGAUGGCAGUUCAUACAUUUCCUCUUCUUCGAAAUUCAAGAUGACUUCAAUAUCCGACUCAAACUUCUCUUAGAAAAGGAACUGACGGGAGAGGAACCUGAUUUUAUUCACAUGGUAAAAGAAAUGUAUGACUCUUGCAUGGAUCUAGAAAGCAUUGAAAAAGAGAGUAGCAAGCCUCUGGAGAAAGUUUUAAAAUCCCUUGGAGGCUGGCCUGUUUUAGAAGGACAAAACUGGAAUCCAGAAUCCUUCGACUGGUUGGAUACACUCAGACGGAUACGCAAGAUGGGUUUCAAUCACAAUACACUGCUGUCGGUGAAAUCUAAGGAAGAUUACGGUUCUGCUCCUUUUAAACGUA